rnacentral:rRNA from 1 species
UACAGAGGGUGCAAGCGUUAAUCGGAAUUACUGGGCGUAAAGCGUGCGUAGACGGUUGCGUAAGUCAGAUGUGAAAGCCCCGGGCUCAACCUGGGAAUUGCAUUUGAGACUGCGUAGCUAGGGUGCGGAAGAGGGAAGCGGAAUUUCCGGUGUAGCGGUGAAAUGCGUAGAUAUCGGAAGGAACACCAGUGGCGAGAGCGGCUUCCUGGUCCAGCACCGACGUUCAGGCACGAAAGCGUGGGGAGCAAACAGG